rnacentral:rRNA from 1 species
CAGCAGCCGCGGUAAAACGAAGGGUGCAAGCGUUAAUCGGAAUUACUGGGCGUAAAGCGUGCGUAGGCGGUUUGUUAAGUCUGUUGUGAAAUCCCCGGGCUCAACCUGGGAAUGGCAAUGGAUACUGGCAAGCUAGAGUGUGUCAGAGGAUGGUGGAAUUCCCGGUGUAGCGGUGAGAUGCGUAGAGAUCGGGAGGAACAUCAGUGGCGAAGGCGGCCAUCUGGGACAACACUGACGCUGAGGCACGAAAGCGUGGGGAGCAAACAGGAUUAGAUACCCGUGUAGUCCCUGUCUCUUAUAC